CGAGCGCAACCUCAUCCUUAGUUGCCAGCACGUAAUGGUGGGACUCUAAAGAAACUGCCGGUGAUAAACNGGAGGAAGGUGNGGAUGACGUCAAGUCAUCAUGGCCCUUACGAGUAGGGCUACACACGUGCUACAAUGGCAUACAAAGGGUGCCCCA
rnacentral:rRNA from 1 species